rnacentral:sRNA from 1 species
UGGGAAUUAUUCUUUAAAUCAAUCUCUUGAAGACUUUUGAUUUAAUAAGAUGCAUUUCUUCCAAAUAUUUUUGAGUUUAAUGGUGAUUUCUUUGGUCUCGACUCGUGAUUGUGUAAUGUAUUGUGGCAUGACUUUCAAUCCUGUAUGUGGUCAAUAUCCCGAUGGUCACCUGCAUACAUUCUUUAAUCAGUGCAUGAGAAUUCUGACAGCUUGUUUUGAAAGAAAAGAUAUUGUUGAACUCUACAGUGGUUUUUGCUAAAUGUCAUGUUCUGGGAAAGCAUCUUAGAACAAGUAAAUUCAAAUAAAAAUUAAAAAGAAAACAAAAAUAUAGAAAAACAUUGUUUCUAAUCUUCCUAUA